rnacentral:rRNA from 1 species
GAGAGUUUGAUUCUGGCUCAGAUUGAACGCUGGCGGGAUGCUUUACACAUGCAAGUCGAACGGCAGCACGGACUUCGGUCUGGUGGCGAGUGGCGAACGGGUGAGUAAUGUAUCGGAACGUGCCUAGUAAGGGAUAACUACGGCGUAGCUAUUCCGCAUACGCCCUUCCCGGGAAAGCGGGGACCUUCCGGGCCUCACGCUAUUAGAGCGGCCGAUAUCGGAUUAGCUAGUUGGUGGGGUAACGGCUCACCAAGGCGACGAUCCGUAGCUGGUUUGAGAGGACGACCAGCCACACUGGGACUGAGACACGGCCCAGACUCCUGCAGGAGGCAGCGGUGGGAGCUGGACAAUGAAGCCUGAUCCAGCCAUCCCGCGUGUCGAUGAAGGCCUUCAGGACGUAAAGCACUUUGGCAGGAAAGAAACAUGCGGGAUAAUACCCCGUGCAACUGACGGACCACCUGCAGAAUAAGCACCGGCUAACUACGUGCCAACAGCCGCGGUAAUACGUAGGGUGCAAGCGUUAAUCGGAAUUACUGGGCGUAAAGCGUGCGCAGGCGUUCGGAAAGAUGUGAAAUCCCGAACCAACCUGGUUACAUUUUUAACGCUACCGAGCUAGAGUGUGUCAGAGGAGAGGUGGAAUUCCGCGUGUAGCAGUGAAAUGCUGUAGAAUAUGCGGAGGAACACCGAUACGAAAACAGCCUCCUGGGAUAACACUAACGCUCAUGCACGAAAAGCGGCAGGGCAAACAGGUCCGAAUGCCCUGGUAGUCCGCCCUAAACGAUGUCAACUAGCUAUUUGAGGGCCUUCGGGCCUUGUGGCGCAACUAACGCGUGAAGUUGACCGCCUGGGGAGUACGGUCGCAAGAUUAAAACUCAAAGGAAUUGACAGGGACCCGCACAAGCAGUGGAUGAUGUGGAUUAAUUCGAUGCAACGCGAAAAAGCCUUACCUACCCUUGACAUGUCUGGGAUACAGAAAGGUACAAGGAGUGCUCGCAAGAGAACCGGAACACAGGUGCUGCAUGGCUGUCGUCAGUAUUGUCGUGAGAUGUUGGGUUAAGUCCCGCAGCGAGCGCAACCCUUGUCAUUGGUUGCUACGAAAGGGCGCGCUCUCUCAAUGAGAUUUGCCGGUGACAAACCGGAGGAAGGUGGGGAUGACGUCAAGUCCUCAUGACCCUUAUGGGUAGACUACUGCGUCUUUAAUGGUCGGGACAGAAGGGUCAUAACCGCGAGGGGGAGCCAAUCACAGAAACCCGAUCGUAGUCCGGAUCGCAGUCUGCAACUCGACUGCGUGAAGUCGGAAUCGCUAGUAAUCGCGGAUCAGCAUGUCGCGGUGAAUACGUUCCGGGUCUUGUACACACCCGUCACUGCAUGGGUGGUUUACCAGAAGUAGUUAGCUAACCGUAAGGAGGGCGAUUACCACGGUAGGAUUCAUGACUGGGGUGAAGUCGUAACAAGGU